rnacentral:rRNA from 1 species
GCAGCCUGCAACUCGGCUGCAUGAAGCCGGAAUCGCUAGUAAUCGCGGAUCAGAAUGCCGCGGUGAAUACGUUCCCGGGUCUUGUACACACCGCCCGUCACACCAUGGGAGUCGGGAAUGCCCGAAGCCGGUGGCCCAACCUUAGGGAGGGAGCCGUCGAAGGCAGGCCCGGUGACUGGGUGAAGUCGUAACAAGGUAGC